rnacentral:rRNA from 1 species
UACGUAGGGGGCAAGCGUUAUCCGGAUUUACUGGGUGUAAAGGGAGCGUAGACGGCGAUGCAAGCCAGAUGUGAAAGCCCGGGGCUCAACCCCGGGACUGCAUUUGGAACUGUGUGGCUGGAGUGUCGGAGAGGCAAGUGGAAUUCCUAGUGUAGCGGUGAAAUGCGUAGAUAUUAGGAGGAACACCAGUGGCGAAGGCGGCUUGCUGGACGAUGACUGACGUUGAGGUUCGAAAGCGUGGGGAGCAAACAGG